rnacentral:rRNA from 1 species
GUGGGGUUCGUACAGAUACUGGGCGUAGCGCAGACGCUAGGCGGGUUUGUUAAGUCAGAUGUUGAAGCCCCGGGCUCAACCUGGGAAUUGCCUCUUGAUACUGGGAAGCUGGAGUGCGUGAGAGGAGGGUGGAAUUCCCAGUGUAGAGGUGAAAUGCGUAGAUAUUUGGAGGAACACCAGUGGCGAAGGCGGCCCCCUGGCCCAUACUGACGCUGAGUGCGAAAGCGUGGGGAGCAAACAGGAUUAGAUACCCUGGUAGUCCCGCCCUAAACGAUGUCAACUACCUGUUCACGGCCUUGUGUUGUGAGUAACGCAACUAAGGCAUUAAUUUUACCCCCCGGGGGAAACGGUCCCCGGAAUAAAAUCCAAAUGAAUUGACGGGGGCCCCCCAAACGGGGGGAACUGGGGGUUUAUUUUAAAUCACCCCCAAAAACCUUCCCUCCUCUUACAUUCUACGGAACUUGUGAAAAAAUGCUUGCUGCCUUUAGGAACUGUAAAAAGGGGGGUGCCUGGCUUCCGUCCGCUCCGGGUGGGGAAAGGUGGGUUAAAUCCCCCAACGAACCCCACCCUUAUCCUUAUUUGCCCCCAAUUGUGUGGGGAACUCUAAGGAGACUGCCGGUGAUAAACCGGAGAGGGGGGGGGACAACAUCCAUUCUGGCGGCCCUUACGAGGAGGGGUACACACGUGCUACAAUGGUAUGUACAGAGGGAGGCAAGCUGGCGACAGUGAGCCCAUCUCUUAGAGCAUCUCUUAGUCCCGAUUGCAGUCUCCCACUCCCCUCCAUGAGGACUCAAUCGCUAUCACUCGUCAAUCAUGACGCGGCGAAUGAAUACCUUCCCCCGUUCUUGUACACACCCGCUCGUCACACGAUGGGAGUGUGUUGCAGAAGAAGUACGUAGCUCAGCAUUCGGGGAGGGCGCUUACCACUUAGUGAUUCUAGCUCGGGGUAAUCUAUAAAAAGAACAACAAAAA